rnacentral:rRNA from 1 species
AGUGAACGCUGGCGGUAGGCCUAACACAUGCAAGUCGAACGGCAGCACAGUAAGAGCUUGCUCUUACGGGUGGCGAGUGGCGGACGGGUGAGGAAUACAUCGGAAUCUACUUUUUCGUGGGGGAUAACGUAGGGAAACUUACGCUAAUACCGCAUACGACCUACGGGUGAAAGUAGGGGAUCUUCGGACCUUGCGCGAUUGAAUUAGCCGAUGUCGGAUUAGCUAGUUGGCGGGGUAAAGGCCCACCAAGGCGACGAUCCGUAGCUGGUCUGAGAGGAUGAUCAGCCACACUGGAACUGAGACACGGUCCAGACUCCUACGGGAGGCAGCAGUGGGGAAUAUUGGACAAUGGGCGCAAGCCUGAUCCAGCCAUACCGCGUGGGUGAAGAAGGCCUUCGGGUUGUAAAGCCCUUUUGUUGGGAAAGAAAAGCAGCAGGUUAAUACCCCGCUGUUCUGACGGUACCCAAAGAAUAAGCACCGGCUAACUUCGUG